rnacentral:rRNA from 1 species
AGAUUGAACGCUGGCGGCAUGCCUUACACAUGCAAGUCGAACGGCAGCACGGGAGCAAUCCUGGUGGCGAGUGGCGAACGGGUGAGUAAUAUAUCGGAACGUGCCCAGUCGUGGGGGAUAACGCAGCGAAAGCUGUGCUAAUACCGCAUACGAUCUAUGGAUGAAAGCGGGGGAUCGCAAGACCUCGCGCGAUUGGAGCGGCCGAUAUCAGAUUAGCUAGUUGGUGGGGUAAAAGCCUACCAAGACGACGAUCUGU